UUUCGAAUCAUUCACAAUGGGCGAAAGCCUGAUGGUGCAACGCCGCGUGGGGGACGAAGGUUUUCGAAUCGUAAACCCCUGUCGUCAAAGAGCAAAAACUGAGUUCGUAGCUCAGCUUGAGUUAACUUGAAAAGGAAGCAGUGGCAAACUCCGUGCCAGCAGCCGCGGUAAUACGGAGACUGCAAGCGUUACUCGGAAUUACUGGGCGUAAAGGGUGCGCAGGCGGCCAGGUGUGUCAGAUGUCAAAAUGCGGGGCUUAACCCCGUAUCGCGUUUGAAACUGCCCGGCUAGAGUUUUGGAGAGGUAAGCGGAAUUUCUGGUGUAGCGGUGGAAUGCGUAGAUAUCAGAAAGAACACCAAUGGCGAAGGCAGCUUACUGGGCAAAUACUGACGCUCAUGCACGAAAGCGUGGGUAGCAAAAAGG
rnacentral:rRNA from 1 species